CGAUUGCAGUCUCCGAAGUCCUUCUUGAUCGAUGGUCCCCAUUAGCAUUAGUGCCAAUUAGCAGCCGCUCUUUUUGGAAGGCGAGGUACUCAUGUGUGAUCUCGGAUUCCACGGUAGCAGUAGUUCUCGCUCUACAUUAGGAGCACAGGGGCUCUAUCCAUCUAAAGGAGGUACGGACUCCUUCCAUAGUACGGUACGAUGCAGUUGAAAAACGUAAGCCCAACCCUUACGUUUUCUUGCUUUUCUUUGUUGAACCCUCUACGGUCUACCCUCUUUCUCGAUAUCCUAAUUCUAGCGUUCGUUAGCAGAAGUAGAGAUAGGGGGAGAUAGGAUUUUUGAAAAAAUUUAUGUGAUUUUUACAGAAGCCGCUAUAAAGGGAAGAAGCACAUCCUGCACCUUCACCUGCGAAGCGCUACGCUCCUGCUUACGAAAGACUACUUUCCAAGCGAACUACUGAAGACAGACUACCGGGAGUGGGAAUAAAGCUCCAGCCCUUAGCCCUGAACUCCUUCAAUAUCGCACCUACUACCAAAGACUGAACCAAAGAAGGGAUGGGAUAGACAUAGCCAUCUCUCCCUCACCCCGAAGCUCAAACCCCGCAUCCUGAUCCAGAUCUAGCUACGGACUUACUAGAGCUACUACGCAUCGGGGGAAGGCGUCUAGACGCCUAAAGGAGGGCAUAAAAGACUGUCUGAAUCUUCCUAAAGUAGC
rnacentral:lncRNA from 1 species